UGACUGUGCCAUGUGUGAGGGCUGCAGCUGACCCGAUCGACUGGUUGACUGGUCAAGUGACAUUCAUUGAGGUUCCUAAGAGAUGACCCCUGGACAUGCCACCAAGAUGUCUGGGCUCUGCUUUGGACUAUAAUUUAUAAGAAGCCUGGGCUUUGGAGUCAGACACAUCCAAGUUCAGAGCCCACCUUGAUGCUGUGAGAUCCUGGCAAAGCCACCCACUCCCUCUGAAAAGUGGAUUGCGGAGAUUAAGAGAGACUACUGAAGUGCCACGUUUAGGCUGACAUCAGGAGCACCGGUGAUACCUCCUUCCCAUGUUGCGAAAGCUUUGAUUUUGACCCAUCCUUGAGUCCUGAAGCUUGAACUCUGACCAGCCUGGGGAAGCUCAUUCGGUAUUUUGAUUUGAUUUGAUUUUUUUUCCUUUCUCUUUAUCAGUUCUGUGGCUAAAAGACCUCAGUCCUCCAGGCAACAUCACGUUGAUGCCUUUCACAAGCACUAACAUUCCCAUUUAAAACCGGAAAAUAUUUGACUAUCUUUGUUGUUGCUGCUAUAAAUCCUAUUGGAUUCACAUCAAAUGGGACAAAUUUUAAAUUUCACCCAUGAGACCUUUAUCGGGUGUGCAUCCCAUUCAGAGACCCACAGUGGAAAAUGGAUUUCAAAAUUGUGUGCACUGCAUUUUGAGGCUGAAUAUUUUAAAACCUGAAUGCAUAACCAAAAAAUUGGAACAGGGCGAAUAAACUGUACUGACCCAUAUCAAUGAAUGAUAUCAACUCCACUUCUACCCAGAGUGAGUGGAAUUGCUUAUCAAACAGAUCCCUUCUCAUCUUCUCAUAAAUUACAACAACACAGAGAAUGGACGGGACCCCCUUCCUGUUAUUUCUUCCUGUAUUUUUUUUUUUUCACGGCUUUCUCACAUCAUAGCCUACAAAAUAAGAUUACAGGAAUUUGUAAAUCAUUAGGAGCCUACAAAUUGCACAUCUGUGACUUAGAAAUUGGUAAAUUAAACAAAAGAACUUUUUCUUGUAUUUACAGAUUGUGAAAUGGACACUAUCAGGUUGCCUUUAAAAUACGUAAUAAAACACACCUUCAGAUUCAAACCUACAGGUAAUCUUCUCACAGAUGAAAUGGUUCAUAUAACAUUAGUGACACCACAAAAUACCAUAUUACAGCUCGUGACUUACCAUCAUGCCUUUUACAUUCUGCAAGACUGCUGAAUCUUAUUUUUGUUAAAAGUUAUCAUGUUGUCAAUUUUCUAAUCUAAUUCCUAAUCAUGAAAAUGUACCCUGAUUUCUAUUUCACUCGAGCCAGUAAUAAAAUAUUGUUUUCCUGUUUUAUCAUCGAUUUUCUGUGGUUAUCAUGGUGUCGUCAUUUAUUACUGUUGAUGGUUCCUAACAUAUGUUUUGACAUCCAAGGCAUAGAUUGUAAAAUUCAGUGAAAAUAUAUUGAAAAUUUAUAAGGGCUGGACGACCGUGGAGUUGUUGCUGACAUGUGGCAUUUCUUCAUGAAAGACUGAGAACAUGUGAUCACACAAGGAUUUCUCACUCAUUCAGAUAAUUGUCAUACAAUGGCUCUGUCCCAGGCUGUGUGCCUUAGGUUCCAGGGUUGCAGUGAUGAGGGAAACCCUGCCCUCACCUUGCAGAGAUCAAAUUCCAGCGGCGGUGACGGACCUGUGAGAAGACAUGCACAGCAUUGAGUCACUAAGUUAGCUAAACCUUAGGAUUGUGUAUAUCUUUAAAGAAGACAAAAUGCUUUCACAUUUAUUAUCUUAUUUGAUCUUUA
rnacentral:lncRNA from 10 species